rnacentral:rRNA from 1 species
AUUGAACGCUGGCGGCAUGCCUUACACAUGCGAGUCGAACGGUAGCGGGCCUUCGGGUGCCGACAAGUGGCGAACGGGUGAGUAAUGUAUCGGAACGUACCUUUCAGUGGGGGAUAACGUAGCGAAAGUUACGCUAAUACCGCAUAUUCUGUGCGCAGGAAAGCAGGGGAUCGCAAGACCUUGCGCUGAUUGAGCGGCCGAUAUCAGAUUAGCUAGUUGGUGAGGUAAAGGCUCACCAAGGCGACGAUCUGUAGCGGGUCUGAGAGGAUGAUCCGCCACACUGGAACUGAGACACGGUCCAGACUCCUACGGGAGGCAGCAGUGGGGAAUUUUGGACAAUGGGGGCAACCCUGAUCCAGCCAUGCCGCGUGAGUGAAGAAGGCCUUCGGGUUGUAAAGCUCCUUCGGCCGGGAAGAAAUCGUAUCAGCUAAUACCUGGUGCGGAUGACGGUACCGGCAUAAGAAGCACCGGCUAACUACGUGCCAGCAGCCGCCGUAACAC